GACGAACGCUGGCGGCGUGCCUAAUACAUGCAAGUAGAACGCUGAAGGAGGAGCUUGCUUCUCUGGAUGAGUUGCGAACGGGUGAGUAACGCGUAGGUAACCUGCCUGGUAGCGGGGGAUAACUAUUGGAAACGAUAGCUAAUACCGCAUAAUAUUAGAUGUUGCAUGACAUUUGCUUAAAAGUUGCAAUUGCAUCACUACCAGAUGGCCCUGCGUUGUAUUAGCUAGUUGGUGGGGUAACGGCUCACCAAGGCGACGAUACAUAGCCGACCUGAGAGGGUGAUCGGCAACACUGGGACUGAGACACGGCCCAGACUACUACGGGAGGCAGCAGUAGGGAAUCUUCGGCAAUGGACGGAAGGCUGACCGAGCAACGCCGCGUGAGUGAAGAAGGUUGUCGGAUCGUAAAGCUCUGUUGUAAGAGAAGAACGAGUGUGAGAGUGGAAAGUUCACACUGUGACGGUAUCUUACCAGAAAGGGACGGCUAACUACGUG
rnacentral:rRNA from 1 species